rnacentral:tRNA from 4 species
GAGGUAUUCGUAUAGCGGUUAUUAUACUUGACUGUCUAUCAAGAGAUAGGGGUUCAACUCCCCUAUACCUCGCCA